rnacentral:rRNA from 1 species
AACGGCCCACCAAACCGACGAUGGAUAGGGGUUCUGAGAGGAAGGUCCCCCACAUUGGUACUGAGACACGGACCAAACUCCUACGGGAGGCAGCAGUGAGGAAUAUUGGUCAAUGGGCGCGAGCCUGAACCAGCCAAGUCGCGUGAGGGAUGAAGGUUCUAUGGAUCGUAAACCUCUUUUAUAAGGGAAUAAAGUGCGGGACGUGUCCCGUUUUGUAUGUACCUUAUGAAUAAGGAUCGGCUAACUCCGUGCCAGCAGCCGCGGUAAUACGGAGGAUCCGAGCGUUAUCCGGAUUUAUUGGGUUUAAAGGGUGCGUAGGCGGCCUUUUAAGUCAGCGGUGAAAGUCUGUGGCUCAACCAUAGAAUUGCCGUUGAAACUGGGGGGCUUGAGUAUGUUUGAGGCAGGCGGAAUGCGUGGUGUAGCGGUGAAAUGCAUAGAUAUCACGCAGAACCCCGAUUGCGAAGGCAGCCUGCCAAGCCAUUACUGACGCUGAUGCACGAAAGCGUGGGGAUCAAACAGGAUUAGAUACCCUGG